AUUGAGUCUUGUCCUUGCAAAUAACGAAACUUUCACAUGUGAUUUUAAAUCCCAUUAGGGUAAUACAGUGAUAACGAAAUUAAAACCCAAUGUAAUGAAAUACCAAUUUUCUCAUACGGUGCAGUGUAAUAAACUUUCACUCUCAGUAUGAAUGAUAAUUGCACGGCUUAAAUCAGAUUAUAGGAUAUGUCAUCGGAUGAUAAGCAGACAAUGGAAAACACCACCACUUCCAAUGAGGCACCAGUGGAAAAAAAUGGUUUAUUUUCAAGCAUUCGAGGAUUUUGGAAUAAAACCCCACAAGAAAAUGAUACAGAUACCCUAUCACUUUUUUUGCCAAUAUCUAAAGGCCAGGAUUCCCCAAUAUCUAAGGAGGAAGUCGAUAGAUUUAUAGCUAAAGAAACUGGAUUAGGCAGGCUAAAACACAUGUAUUCAUAUCAGUAUGUAAUACUAUAAACAUGUACAUACGUUCUUAUUUUAGGAUUUGUUUGGUUUUGAAUGAAAAAUGACUGAUGUUUUGCCAUGAUUUUCUACAGUGGAAUGCUUUGUCUAACAUUUGAAAUAUAUUUUUGAGGAUGUGUACUGAACAGAUGUCAAUUUUAACAAAUUCCAUAAUUUAGGAUUUAGCUUAUUGAAUAUACGCUUAUUUAAGAUUUCCCUCUAUAUUAACAAAUUUAUGGACCAAUCAAAGUACACAUUAAGAGCAUAUGCUAUCAAUGGUUUAUUUGUGAAAAAAAUGAAUUAAAACAUAUAGAAAAACAACAAUGAUGUGAAAAUAGCAAUGUGUAUAUUACAUGUAUAUUUUUGCAUAUAUGUAAUUUGUUUCAAUUUUAUUCUUAUUUAGACCAAUGUCAGUGAUAAGUGCAGACUUGCACAAUGUGCUCAGCUUGGCAGCACCUAUGACACUCUUCUCUGGUAUGAUAAUAGCGGGUCUAAGAUACCCCAGUGCUAAAUUUGACUUCUUGAAAAGUCCAGAAAGAGGACUAGUGAAAUUUCAAAGGAAGAAUCUGAGAAUGGCAAGAAUGUAUAAAUAUGACAUUCUCCUAUUAGACUUAUUUAGAACAGCAUUUAAAGCUGGAUUCAAAUUUGGUGGAUUUUUUACAUGUAUUCUGUUGGUAAACCAGAGUUUAGCAACGUACCACAAUAAAUCCAGUCCACUGUAUUACGCAGCAGGGGGAGCGGUAGCAGGUGCCCUGAACAAGUUUGUAGAUGGUACCAGGGCCAUGAUUGCAGGAGGAACUGUAGCCGGGUUUAUUGGGCUGGUGUAUGGGGGAGCAUUUUAUUUAUUUUUAAAACAAUAUGGGAUGACACAGGAUAUUUUCCAUUGGGAGGAUGUCAGAAGGAGGCUGGAAAUUGGGUAUGAGCUUUUGGAGAAAGAAAAUGCCAGUAAAGAUGACAGUAAAACAAAGAAAGAUUCCUGAUGACUGAAGAGAGAAUAAAAGUGGAUGUCUUUUAAAAUUAUUGGUGUAUUACAGACGAUACAGACAUUGUCUAAACUAUGUACCAGUUUAAUCAUGUGAUACUACAGUAUGGUUUAAUGUGACUGUAGAAAAUAUUGUACACAGUAUGAAUUUCAGAGUGAUUGUGUUUGAAUGACAUAUAAUGUAAAUAAAGAACGGGUGAAAGACCAUCG
rnacentral:misc_RNA from 1 species